GGUACAAGCCUUUAAUAAAUACUUGUUGGGAAAAUCAGACAGAUUUAACAAAUGAAAUGCCAGAUUCAGUAUGAGCAUCAGUGCAUGUAAAACUAAUCACAGCCAGUUAUGUGAUGGACUUUUUUAUUCAUGUUAGGUUAGUGUUUCAAUUCCUUUAUAUUAUAAUAAUGAAACUUUCUUUGAGGAGUGACAUGAUUCAGAAUGUAAAUCUGAAUUACUAUCACAUUUUGCAUUAUCCAAUCAUUUCUAUAGUCAGCUGUAAUAUAUUUUUCUGUGCACUAAAGACAUAAAUUGUUCCCUUCAUUCAGCCACAGCAACAUGCACUGAUAAAAUUGUUCUCACCUUCCAAAAAACCUUAAUUGCAUUUGAUUAGACUCCAAUCAAAUAUGACAGAACAGCUCAUGAAUAAAGGAGGGAAAAAUACCCCAGCCACCCCAAACAAGGGAGGAUUUCAGAUAACAUAAAUCUUUACUCAUAGUGUUCUUUUGAAAAAUGGUAUUAUAGUAAUAUAGUACCAUUUUAUAAAUAUAAAAUCUUAUUUUCAACACAAUACUCAGACAGAAGAUACGCUUUGAACUCAAGUGUUUUCUGUCGUUGACGUGGGUCAAUACUCUGGUCCAUUUGUGGUUCAUUUUGAGUUGUAGCAUAAUAACAAGCAAUGAUGUUCUGAAAGCAUUAAGAAAACAUUUUUUUUCCAAAGUCUUCCAACAUCCAACUUAAAACCAGACAGUCUGGGACACUAAUAUAAACAAUUAUAUCAGGACUGACAUUGGCUUGAAAAUGCAAGUGUUGGACUGUUCUAAGGAGAAAAAAGUGCCACUCGAACAUGCAGCAUAUUUCUUUGAAGUCUUUGAGUCUUUCUCCUAUGAAGUACUGUAGACCUUCCGAAGAAGUCAGCAUUUGAUCAGUGGCAAAACAUUCUUUCAGCAUGGUCAAUGUGUCCAAUCCUUAGUCGACAUUCAUUAGGAAAGUCAUAAAAACAACACAGAUAAUCUAUUCUAACAUGAAAAUAGAUCAUCUAUCAUUUAAAGUAUUUCUUAUAAAGUCCCCACAGAUAGACUACCAACUUGUGGCCAUUUUACAUAUUUAUAUAUAAAACAUUUUCUGACCAACAUAAAUAAAAGGAAUGACACUGUUGAAAAGGAGAGCGACUGAAGGAGAGAAUAAGAAAAAGUAAUAAUUUUAAGAAAGACGAUAAAAAGGUGUCAUAUAAUUUACUAAACUCAAAUAUACACAGCUAUGUCUUUUUCACUAUUUACAUAUGUACAUAUGAAUAUUUUUCAAUUUAAUGAAUUAUCUCUCAGUGAUUAAAGAACUAAAAUCAUCGUCCCCUACUGUGUACCCCUACAAAAACCUAAGUGUUUUGGGACAACACAAUAGUGUGUUGACUGAAGUGGCCCUUGAUUCUUUACAUCAUGACUGUUCUGUUUAUAUGGCUGUCACAUGAAAAAAGACAAAAGCAAUCAUUUCUAACCAUCAAGAGCUGAGUGAGAGAUUAUCAGUCAGAAUAAUCUUACUGUCUGGACUGAGUACCAAUUCCCAAAGAAGGUGAAUUUCAAUAUAAAAAAGUAAGCCUUUUAUACUUAACAGUAUCUUAGUUCACCCAAAAAUGAAACUUGUGUAUUCAUUUACUCACCCAAAUGCCAUUUAUUCUCUUUUCUGUGUAACAAAAAGGAAUGAGGACCGAGGCUGUCGAGCUCUGUAAUUACAAAAAAGCACCUUAAAUAGGUCUUAAAAAUGUAUGUUUCUUUAAAAAGUCUUCUAAUGUCAUACAACAGAUUUGUGUGAAGGACAAACUUCAGUCGUUAUUCACAUAAUAUGAAUGCUAGAGAUUGUCUGAUUCAUGAACAAAUGAUUCUUUUGAGUUGGAGCUUUUCAAUUAAUCAGUUGAUCCAGUUCAACUCUGAAUGGUCUGGUUUUCAAACCUAAUGACAAUGGUUAACAGCCCAACAGAAGGUAAGAUAUUAGUGAAUAAUAAUGUACGCUUUGGUCUGUUCAUCACACAAAGCUAUCAUAUGGCUCCAGAUGACUUGGAAUAUAACAUAGCAAUUUUAUGAUACUCUUAUGAUACUUUUAUGGUGCUUUUGCAUCCCUUUUGAAGCGUGAAAGCUCCAGAUUUUGUGUGACUUCCUACACUUUUAUGUUACACAGAAGAAAAAAGUCAUACAGGUUUGGAAUGACAUGAGGGUGAGUAAAUGAUAACAGAAUCUUCCUUUGGGUAAACUAUACAUUUAAGUGUGUCUAUAGCAUGUGUUAACAAAAACAAGAACCAACGUAUGUGCAUCAUUAGAAAUAAAAAAUAAAAAAAGGUAAGCGCUAUUGUGACGGUACAGUGAGGCACUUGUGUAUAUAUACCUCUGGAAGAUUUAACGGCUUCUAACACUUGACUUUGGGCAGGUCUGGACAUAAUCAAAAACACUUUAAAGCUGCCUAUCGCUGAUUACUCCUCAGCCUCAAGGGUCAAAGGUCUCGCCAUAGUUCACAAACAUAAUCUUAAAGUUCAGCUUUGUGUAAAAAUGUCCUUCUUUUUAAGGAAAGUGAGUGCAAGUGUAAACAAAAAAAAAAAAAGGAUUUUGAAAACCAUUCUUUGAAUGUCGCAUUUGCUGCAUUUUUGUGACACAAAUCCCUGUUUCAUUUGACUACACAAUGAUGAAAAAAGAAUGAAAAGCCCAGAAGCUU